CAAGGCAGGCGACUAUUCCGGUUGGCUGUCCGAGCAGGGAGGGCGCGUUUCGAGCGAGCUGAGUAGCUUUUCAGUGCUGAACUUCCCCGUGACGAGGAGGCACGUAUCAACGAGACACGCGCACCGCACGUCAUCGCAAGGUUGCGCGAAGGUCAUCUGCUGCUGGUUGGCGUUUUAUUGGACUGAUUGAAGAUCAGCGGCGGGGCGGCGGCGACGACCGGUGGACAUGCUCCAAUCGGGCACCCCUGUCAACAAGCGACCCCGCGUCGACGCGCGCGGUCCCAUCAGCAACGGUCCGAUGCCGCGGCCGCUGGUGGCCCUGCUCGACGGCAGGGACUGCUCGGUGGAAAUGCCCAUCCUCAAGGAUGUGGCCACCGUAGCGUUCUGCGACGCACAGAGCACCUCCGAGAUCCACGAAAAGGUGCUGAACGAGGCCGUCGGCGCCCUGAUGUGGCACGGCAUUAGUCUCACCAAGGACGACCUGGAAAAGUUCCGCGCGCUCAAGAUCAUCGUCCGUGUCGGCAGCGGCGUCGACAACAUCGACACCAAGGCGGCGGCCGAGCUCGGCAUUCACGUGUGUAACGUGCCCGGCUACUCUGUGGAGGAGGUGGCCGACUCGACCAUGUGUAUGAUCCUGAACCUCUACCGGCGGACCUACUGGCUUGCGCGCAUGGUGGCAGAAGACAAAAAGUUCAUGGGCCCAGACGCGAUCCGAGACGCGGCGAACGGUUCAGCGCGGAUCCGGGGCGACACGCUGGGUAUCGUGGGCCUCGGCAAGAUCGGUCAGGCGGUGGCGCUGCGGGCCAAGGCGUUCGGCUUCGCCGUCUACUUCUACGACCCGUACAUCCAGGACGGCAUCGACCGGGCGCUGGGCAUCACGCGCGUCUUCACACUCCAGGAGCUUCUGUACCAGUCAGACUGUGUUACCCUUCACUGCUCACUCAACGAGCACAACCACAGGCUCAUCAACGACUUCACCAUCAAACAGAUGAGGCCAGGCGCGUUCCUGGUGAACACAGCGCGCGGCGGUCUGGUGGAUGAAGAGGCCCUGGCUGCGGCGCUCAAAGAGGGCCGGAUCCGAGCAGCUGCCCUGGACGUGCACACCAACGAGCCCAACAACAUCUUCCUCGGUCCGCUGAAGGAGGUAAAGAACACCAUCAUCGCCACGCCGCACGCCUCGUACUACUCAGAGGCGUCGUUCAGCGAACUGCGAGAGAUGGCAGCCACAGAGAUCCGGCGCUACAUCGUCGGACACAACCUGCGCAACUGUGUCAACAAGGAGUACCUGAAGAUGGCCUCGUACGGCGACGGCCUGAACGGCGCCGGCGCGCCCGGCCUGCCGGCACCCGGCGCUCCCAGCAGCUACUACCCAGCCCAGAUGCAGCGGGGGAUGGGUGUGGCGGCGCACUCGACCUCCGCGCACGACGCCGCGUCGCUGUCCGUACCGUCCUCCCUUCCCCACCACCUCCCCACGGCGCAAGCGCGGCGGUGCGGCACUGCGGCUGCUGCCCGGACGGCGCCGGCCGCCCCGCUGCCGAUGGGCUGUCAGGAUUGGCAGCAGAGCCUGUCCGCCGGCUACCCCGGGACGUACCCGCCGCCGGGCUGGUGGUCCACCGGGCCGGAGCAGCCGCCGGCCGAGCCCCGGGCCUGGCCAGCGGCAUCCUACUCUCCGCUCUCCUCCCCGCCGCAGUCGCAGCAGCUGCAGCUUCAGCAACAGCAGCAGCUGCAAUAUCUGCUGCAGCUGCAUCAACAGCAGCAGUACCUUCAGCAGCAGCAGUACUAUCUGCAACAGCCGCUGCCGCCGCCUCCGUUCGGCCCACGGUUUCCGCCGCUUCCCCAGCUCCCGCCGCUGCCACCGCUGCCCGAUCUGCCUCCUGCUCGGCCCGAGCCGGAGCUUCAACUCCAGCCCCAACUCCAGCCGGAGCUGCAACUCCAGCCUCAGCUCCAGCCGGAGCCCCAGUACCCGGCUCAGGUCCAUCCUGCCGAGCCCGGAGACCUGGAGACGUCGGCAGACACCGGGCCGAGCACCCCAUCGACCCUGCCGGUUCCAGAGCGGCUCUGAGGGGGGUCGCCGCGGCCGCCCGAGCAACACUGCAGCGAGCCACAGUACCUGAGUCAAGGCAGCCGACCAGCACACAAGAGAGCCAUAGCUUAAUAAAGCCAGAGUCGUCGGACAUCCACUGAGCGCGCCCGCAGUGCCACCUGCCGGCGCUCGGACGAACUACACAUCCGCCGUCGCCCGAUGUGAUAGGCGACGUGGUGGGUGCGCCGGGAUCCGUCGGAACCACCGGAGACCGCGGGGAACCACUGGGAACCAGCGGCGCCGCGGCGGCCGCGACGAAUCGCCCCAGCGGCUGGCGCUGACUGGAGCGGGGAGCCGGGGACUGACAGUGCUGGACAUUUCUCCAUCGCACCGACCGGCGCGCCGGGGCCGGGCCGAGUGUACGCGUGCGUGUGUGUGUCUGUGUGCGUGUCUGCGUGCGUGAGAGGGCGGCGGGGGCGCGGCCGCCGCGAGUUGCCGAGCUCGGGAAGCUCCUGUACAAACCGCGCGUAUUUUUGCUGUGUCUGAUGCGUGAGCGAGGAGCGGGCCGCCGCGCGAGCGACGAGGCUCGCCGGCCGCCAGAGAGACGAGACGAGUCGCCACCGGGACGCCCUCAGAGAGCCCAGACGAACCGACGACGGCGGCGGCGGCGGGGCGGCAGCCGCCGGCGACCUCCGAGCGCGCCCGACCCGCCGCCGCCGCCCCAGCCCUGUGUAUAUUACCGUUCAUGGUCAUUUGGUCAUCAUGUAGAUCUUCCAUAAAUAAAGGAGACUUAACGUUGAUCUGUCUGUUGCGGGCGGCGCGGCCGGCCGGCCGGUUGGACGGCUGGGAAUGGUGUCGCCGCCGGUUUGGACUGUGUGCCGUGCCGGCAACGGUCGGCAUUGUGUAAUCUCGCGUCAAUGACCUGGAUCGAGGAAUAAAGCGCGCAGUGGUCGGAUGUUA